rnacentral:rRNA from 1 species
UGAGUACGAGAUGCUACGGCGUCGAAGCAGUGUAUGUCAGACUUCCAAGAAAAGCUCGCGAUGUCAUAAAUAAAGAAUGCCUGUACCAUAACCGACACAGGUGGGUAGGUAGAGUAUACUAAGGGGCGCGAGAUAACUCUCUCUAAGGAACUCGGCAAAAUAACUCCGUAACUUCGGGAGAAGGAGUGCCUUCUUUUAGAAGGUUGCAAUAACAAGAUCCAAGCAACUGUUUAUCAAAAACACAGGUCUCCGCUAAGUCGUAAGACGAUGUAUGGGGGCUGACGCCUGCCCAGUGCCAGAAGGUUAAAGAAGCUGGUUAGCAAUAGCGAAGCUGGUGACUGAAGCCCUGGUGAACGGCGGCCGUAACAAUAACGGUCCUAAGGUAGCGAAAUUCCUUGUCGGGUAAGUUCCGACCCGCACGAAAGGCGUAAUGAUUUGGAUACUGUCUCGGAGAGGGACUCGGUGAAAUAGACUUGUCUGUGAAGAUGCGGACUACCUGCACCAGGACAGAAAGACCCUAUGAAGCUUUACUGUAACUUGAAAUUGAAAUUGGACUUUAUUUGCGCAGUAUAGGUGGAAGGCGUGGAGACUACUCUUGCGGGAGGAGUGGAGCCAUCAGUGAGAUACCACUCCUAUAAUGUUAGAUUUCUAACUUUGGAUCAUGAUCUUGUCAAAGAACAGUUUCAGGCGGGCAGUUUGACUGGGGCGGUCGCCUCCCAAAUGGUAACGGAGGCGUACAAAGGUUUCCUCUGAACGGGUAGAAAUCGUAUCUAGAGUGUAAAGGCAUAAGGAAGCUUGACUGUGAGACCUACAAGUCGAGCAGGGACGAAAGUCGGUCUUAGUGAUCUGACGGUGCUGAGUGGAAAGGCCGUCACUCAACGGAUAAAAGUUACUCUAGGAUAACAGGCUGAUCUCCCCCAAGAGUUCACAUCGACGGGGAGGUUUGGCACCUCGAUGUCGGCUCAUCGCAUCCUGGGGCGGUAGUACGUCCCAAGGGUUGGGCUGUUCGCCCGUGAAAGCGGUACGCGAGCUGGGUUCAGAACGUCGUGAGACAGUUCGGUCCAUAUCCGGUGUAGGCGUUAGAAUAUUGAGAGGAGCCUUCUUUAGUACGAGAGGGCCGAGAAGGACAUACCUCUGGUGUACCAGUUAUCGUGCCAACGGUAAACGCUGGGUAGCUAUGUAUGGAGAGGAUAACCGCUGAAAGCAUCUAAGUGGGAAGCCCACCUCAAGAUGAGUAUUCGC